rnacentral:rRNA from 1 species
UACGAAGGGGGCUAGCGUUGUUCGGAAUCACUGGGCGUAAAGGGCGCGUAGGCGGCUUUAUAAGUCGGGGGUGAAAGCCUGUGGCUCACCACAGAAUUGCCUUCGAUACUGUAGAGCUUGAGACCGGGAAGAGGUAAGUGGAACUGCGAGUGUAGAGGUGAAAUUCGUAGAUAUUCGCAAGAACACCAGUGGCGAAGGCGGCUUACUGGUCCGGUUCUGACGCUGAGGCGGCGAAAGCGUGGGGAGCAAACAGG